AUGCAAAGGGGUUGUGCUGGGCGUGCUAUUGCUCUUGCUUGGAUUUAAUACAAAUAGCCUGCCAUUGAAGAGGAACAAAGGGAUUUUUGAUGUGGCUCAUCAUUGAUCCUCAUUGGGAUAAGAUUUUCCUAUUCUCUUCCUGCAGCCAGAAGGUUUUGCCGGACAGUCAGUGAUGGCCACAUCAUUGCCUUGGAUUUUCACAGACAUCCACUUGUUUUUAUGGAUUAAUUUUCGGCCACUCUUUGAUGCCACUUUGGACACUAUGAUGACAAUAAAAGAAGCAGAAUUCCUUGGAUGAAAGUAGACAAACUCUAUGAAGCAUUCAAGAGAUUGCACAGACACUGCAUGGAUCAGCUGAGUCCUCAGUAGAGAGAUACCUUCCUGCAGUGAGAAUAUCUCAUAGACCCAGCUUGAAGAGGACCCCAGCUACUCUCUGAUGCUGCUUGAUGUAGAAAGUUUGUCUUUCAUAACACCUGAACCUCUGACUCAAAACAGCCUUAUUUUGUCUCCUUCAUGCUUUUCAAACCUUCCCUUAGCAUCCCAUUUUUUCUUCAUAGUCUGUUGUCCCACCUACUACAGAAGUCCUAUUCAGUCUAGCCUCUUCACCAUCUGAUGUUACUUGCCCUGAUUGUAC
rnacentral:lncRNA from 1 species